GACGAACGCUGGCGGCGUGCUUAACACAUGCAAGUGGAGCGACGAACCAGGGCUUGCCCUGGGGCAGAGCCGCGAACGGGUGAGUAACACGUGGGUAACCCACCCCGAUGACCGGGACAACCCGAGGAAACUCGGGCUAAUACCGGAUGUUCUGAUCUCUUGUAAGGGAGCUCAGUAAAGAUAGCUUCGGCCUUCGCAUCGGGACGGGCCCGCGGCCCAUUAGCUUGUUGGUGAGGUAACGGCUUACCAAGGCGACGAUGGGUAGCUGGUCUGAGAGGACGAUCAGCCACACUGGGACUGAGACACGGCCCAGACUCCUACGGGAGGCAGCAGUGGGGAAUCUUGCGCAAUGGGCGAAAGCCUGACGCAGCAACGCCGCGUGGGGGAAGAAGGCCUUCGGGUUGUAAACCCCUUUCAGUUGGGACGAAGCUUCCAGUGUUAAUAGCGCUGUGGAGUGACGGUACCUUCAGAAGAAGCCCCGGCUAACUACGUGCCAGCAGCCGCGGUAAAA
rnacentral:rRNA from 1 species